ensembl:snRNA U6 U6 spliceosomal RNA
GCACUAGCUUCAGCAGCACCUAUGCAAAAAUUGGAAUGAUACAGAGAAAAUUAGCAUGGCCCCUGCGCAAGGAAAUACAAAAGUCUACGACUAACAACCAUAACUC